AUGGUCUUGGUCGUGGUGAUGGUCUUGGCCUUGGUGAUGGACUUGGCCGUGGUGAUGGACAAGGGCAAGGUCGUUAUAGAGGAAUGUUUGGAUAUCUCGAUGGACCAUUUCCGUAUGGCGGCUUCCCAACCCAACAAACCAACAAUGAAGGAGGAUGGCGAAGAUGAGAUGGCGGGAUGGUGGGAGAAGGCUGCGAAGAAGUUUAGAGAGGAGGAUGCAGCCAAGCUAAAGAAGAAGAAGGAAGAGGAGCUUGAGGAGAAGAGGAAGGCAAAAGAGAGACCGUCAAAUGCGAUGCGCGCUAGGGAGCAAGCGUUGGUGAGGAAAUGUGAGGAGGCACAGAAGAAGCGUCAAAAGGAUUUUGAAGAAGGAACCAUGAAGCUUUGGGCAAUUGCAGCUGAAAAAAAAGAGAGGGAGGAUAAGAUAUUCAUGUGGAGGGUGGUUAAGGAGGCCCACCUCAUAAGGAAAAGGGAGGAGGAAGAGGAAGAAGAGAGGAAGAACAAGAAGGGAAAGGGGCCUUGCUCUACGCAAUAG
rnacentral:rRNA from 1 species